rnacentral:piRNA from 1 species
UUGGAUCCAAUUGUUGAAUUU